GAUGAAGAACGUAUCGAAAUGCGAUAAGUAAUGUGAAUUGCAGAAUUCAGUGAAUCAUCGAAUCUUUGAACGCACCUUGCGCUCCUUGGCAUUCCGAGGAGCAUGCCUGUUUGAGUGUCAUUAAAUUCUCAAGACCUGUCUGCUUUUUUGAUAGGUAUUGGAUUUUGGGGGUUGCAGGCUGUUUCAAAUAAAUAGCCUUGCUCUCCUUGAAUGUAUUAGUGGAGAAAAGCCAUUGAACUCCAUUGGUGUGAUAAAACCUAUCAAUGCCAGGAGCAAUAUUACUACUUCUCUCUGCUGUCUAACUGUGACUGUCUGUAUUAAUUAGUAUGGAUGGGGACAACUUGACCAACUUGACCUCAAAUCAGGUAGGACUACCCGCUGAACUUAAGCAUAUCAAUAAGCGGAGGA
rnacentral:misc_RNA from 1 species